CUGGUGACUGCAGAAAGUAGCUGUUUUAGGUCUGCAGUGAUGAUGUGGUGAUUAGGGUGAGUUAAUUGGACACAGGACAACUGGGUAAUUGCUAGUGAUGAGGCAGUGAACUCCCAGGUAAUUGCACCUUCCCCAGAGGUGUACUGCCAUUAGCAGUGUUACAAAGGCAAAGCUGAGAGGUGAUGACAGGGGAGUCAUUGUCUCUACGUGGCAGUGCUGAAUCAGGGCCAGGAAAUUACCCCUUCUCCUUACUAAGAAAAAUAAUGCUUAAUCUGUUUGUUUUCCUCUUGCUUUCUUAGAGGAGAGGUGCACUUGUGGGCACCUUAGAAGCGUCCUGAGAAGAAUUCCUGAGGGGAGGAAGGGGAAGCAGAGUCUGACUUUGUGUUCUCCAGACAGCACAGCCCAAGUUCUGCUGGACACUAGUGGAACCCAGGGGAGAUGCUCUGACAGAGCUCACCCACAGAAACACUCAGUAGAAGCUUCUACUUUCUUCAUGGGCACCAGCAGCACCAGUCCUGCUUCCUACAAGAACAGACAUCAUUAACGAGAGGAUGGCUCCCAGGUCAUGGAUGGACACCUUCCGCUCUUCUAUGUGUUGCUGUUAAGGUGAAUGUGUGCUACUUUCUACAUUAAUGAAAAAUAAAACGGUGUAUGUAUUUGCAUGCCAACUCUUUGGGCUGGUUAACUAGUGCCAAGCUGCAGCAAGGUUCUCGAAACGACAGGACAAACUCCUCAAUGCUAUUUUCAAGCCUUAGAGGCAGCAAGUUGCAGGUGGAGGCCUGAGCACAGGACUGAAAGGCUGAGUGUCCAAAACUAUUUAGCUUCUCUUCACCCCUUUCCAUUCUCUUUACAGUACAGAGAUACUUUGUCACGUGAGGGCAUGGGAGAAGCUUGCAACACACCUGCUGAAGUGCUUUGAAG
rnacentral:lncRNA from 1 species